ACGUAGGUCCCAAGCGUUAUCCGGAUUUACUGGGCGUAAAGUGUCCGUAGCCUGGUAUACAAGUCAGUUUUCAAAUCCCACGACUCAAUCGUGGAAAGGGAAUAGAUACUGUAUACCUGGAGAAUAUUGGAGGUUAGUGGAAUUUCCGGUGUAGCGGUGAAAUGUGUUGAUAUCGGAAAGAACGCCGAAAGCGAAAGCAGCUAACUAUGAUAUUUCUGACGGUAAUGGACGAAAGCUUGAGUAGCAAACGG
rnacentral:rRNA from 1 species